rnacentral:rRNA from 1 species
GAUAGAAACCGACCUGGCUCACACCGGUUUAAACUCAGAUCAUGUAAAAUUUUAAAGGUCGAACAGACCUAAUUUAUCAGCUUCUACACCAAUAAUUUCUUUUAAUCCAACAUCGAGGUCGCAAUCUUUUUUUUCGAUAAGAACUCUAAAAAUAAUUACGCUGUUAUCCCUAAGGUAAUUUCAUCUUUUAAUCUUCAAUUAAGGAUCAAAAAUUCAUAAAUUAAUGAUUAUAUAAAAAAAAAGUUUAAUUAAUUUUUCAAUCACCCCAAUAAAAUAAUCUUUUAAAUAAAUAUAAUAAUCCUAAAAUUUUAUCUAUUCAAAAAACUAUUAAACUCUAUAGGGUCUUCUCGUCUUCUAUAAAUAUUUAAGCUUUUUUACUUAAAAAUAAACUUCAAAAAAAAAUUAAAUAGAGACAGCUAUUUUUUCAUUAAACCCUUCAUACAAGCUUUUAAUUAAAAAACUAAUGAUUAUGCUACCUUUGCACGGUCAAAAUACCGCGGCCAUUAAAUUCAAUCUAUCAUUGGGCAGGUUAGACCUAAAAUUAAAAUCAAUAGGCCAUGUUUUUAAUAAACAGGCG